rnacentral:rRNA from 1 species
CCUACGGGUGGCAGCAGUGGGGAAUAUUGGGCAAUGGGCGCAAGCCUGACCCAGCAACGCCGCGUGAAGGAAGAAGGCUUUCGGGUUGUAAACUUCUUUUCUCAGGGACGAAGCAAGUGACGGUACCUGAGGAAUAAGCACCGGCUAACUCCGUACCAGCAGCCGCGGUAAUACGGAGGGUGCAAGCGUUACUCGGAAUCACUGGGCGUAAAGAGCGCGUAGGCGGGAUAGCAAGUCAGAUGUGAAAUCCUAUGGCUUAACCAUAGAACUGCAUUUGAAACUGUUAUUCUAGAGUAUGGGAGAGGUAGGUGGAAUUCCUAGUGUAGCGGUGAAAUGCGUAGAUAUUAGGAGGAACACCAGUGGCGAAGGCGGCUUACUGGACUGUAACUGACGUUGAGGCUCGAAAGCGUGGGGAGCAAACAGGAUUAGAUACCCCUGUAGUC